rnacentral:snoRNA from 1 species
CUGCCCCUAGAGGCAUUGCAGGUGUGGCUGCUGUGACACAUGUGUCAGUAGCUGGUAGAAAGGAAAGAGGCUGUGUCUAUAGCUUAAUGUUCUGACAUCUGAAUGAUUAGUAGCCUAAAUU